rnacentral:rRNA from 1 species
GACGAACGCUGGCGGCGUGCCUAAUACAUGCAAGUCGAACGGUCUUUUCUAUGGAAGCUUGCUUCCACUGAGAAGAUAGUGGCGGACGGGUGAGUAACACGUGGGUAACCUGCCCAUAAGAGGGGGAUAACAUCCGGAAACGGGUGCUAAUACCGCAUAGUUUUCUUGAUCGCAUGAUCGAGAAAGGAAAGACGGCCUUUGUGCUGUCGCUUAUGGAUGGACCCGCGGCGUAUUAGUUAGUUGGUGAGGUAAUGGCUCACCAAGACGAUGAUACGUAGCCGACCUGAGAGGGUGAUCGGCCACAUUGGGACUGAGACACGGCCCAAACUCCUACGGGAGGCAGCAGUAGGGAAUCUUCCGCAAUGGACGAAAGUCUGACGGAGCAACGCCGCGUGAGUGAAGAAGGUUUUCGGAUCGUAAAACUCUGUUGUCAGAGAAGAACAAGUUGGAGAGUAACUGCUCCAGCCUUGACGGUAUCUGACCAGAAAGCCACGGCUAACUACG